rnacentral:rRNA from 1 species
GACGUAGGGCGCGAGCGUGUCCGGAUUUAUUGGGCGUAAAGAGCUCGUAGGCGGCUUGUCGCGUCGAAUGUGAAAACUCGGGGCUCAACUCCGAGCUUGCAUUCGAUACGGGCAGGCUAGAGUUCGGUAGGGGAGACUGGAAUUCCUGGUGUAGCGGUGAAAUGCGCAGAUAUCAGGAAGAACACCCGUGGCGAAGGCGGCUCUCUGGAACGCAACUGACGCUGAGACGCGAAAGCGUGGGGAGCAAACAGG